GACGAACGCUGGCGGCGUGCUUAACACAUGCAAGUCGAACGAUGACGACCGAGCUUGCUCGGUCUGAUUAGUGGCGAACGGGUGAGUAACACGUGAGCAACCUGCCCUUCACUCUGGGAUAACCUCGGGAAAUCGGGGCUAAUACCGGAUAUGAGCUCCUGUCGCAUGGCGGGUGUUGGAAAGUUUUUCGGUGAAGGAUGGGCUCGCGGCCUAUCAGUUUGUUGGUGAGGUAGUGGCUCACCAAGGCGAUGACGGGUAGCCGGCCUGAGAGGGCGACCGGCCACACUGGGACUGAGACACGGCCCAGACUCCUACGGGAGGCAGCAGUGGGGAAUAUUGCACAAUGGGCGAAAGCCUGAUGCAGCGACGCCGCGUGAGGGAUGACGGCCUUCGGGUUGUAAACCUCUUUCAGCAGGGAAGAAGCGAAAGUGACAGUACCUGCAGAAGAAGCGCCGGCUAACUACGUG
rnacentral:rRNA from 1 species